rnacentral:misc_RNA from 1 species
AUAUCUUCAAGGAGAGGAUGGACCUAGAGGGGCGCUGUUGGAAAACUAUCACGCCUGAGAUAAGAGAGUUUUACUAGGAUGAAUUUCAAGUAAUAAAAUAAAUAUUUAAAUAUAAUUAGCUAUCAAAUAACUAAUUUGCAUAGUUUAUGAAACCUCAAAAAAGAAUGUUAUGAACAAAUAUCAUUUAAGUGAUGAGAAUUUGUGAAUUAAUGUAAAAGAACACAAUUGAAGUAUAUUAAUGCUUAAAUGUUUUAUGUAUAGCUUGUGUGUUGAGGAUGUUGAAAAUAUAUAUUAUUGUGAGUUGUUGUAGUUGGGGUGGAUGUUGUUUGUUAUUGAGAAUAUAUGAAGUGUUUUUAACAGGUGCAAUUAAUGCCUAAUAACUAGGCUGGAUAGUCCAAAAUUAAAGGGAAAUGUUGUCAAUUUUUUUUUAAAAUAUUAUCAUCCUAAUACAGCUGUCUCAAUUUUUAUUUAUUUUACAACAAAAAUACUUUGAUUGUCAAGAGUUGACUUCACUCGUAAAUAAAGCUUAGAGGCAUAAGGCUGCAGAGUGCUACAAGGCGUUAAUGUGCAAGGUCAGGAAAGGAAAAUCCAAGGUC